rnacentral:rRNA from 1 species
GAGCGGUAGAGAGAAGCUUGCUUCUCUUGAGAGCGGCGGACGGGUGAGUAAUGCCUAGGAAUCUGCCUGGUAGUGGGGGAUAACGUUCGGAAACGAACGCUAAUACCGCAUACGUCCUACGGGAGAAAGCAGGGGACCUUCGGGCCUUGCGCUAUCAGAUGAGCCUAGGUCGGAUUAGCUAGUUGGUGAGGUAAUGGCUCACCAAGGCGACGAUCCGUAACUGGUCUGAGAGGAUGAUCAGUCACACUGGAACUGAGACACGGUCCAGACUCCUACGGGAGGCAGCAGUGGGGAAUAUUGGACAAUGGGCGAAAGCCUGAUCCAGCCAUGCCGCGUGUGUGAAGAAGGUCUUCGGAUUGUAAAGCACUUUAAGUUGGGAGGAAGGGCAGUUACCUAAUACGUGAUUGUNUUGACGUUACCGACAGAAUAAGCACCGGCUAACUCUGUG